rnacentral:rRNA from 1 species
AUUGAACGCUGGCGGCAGGCCUAACACAUGCAAGUCGAACGGUAACAGGAAGCAGCUUGCUGCUUUGCUGACGAGUGGCGGACGGGUGAGUAAUGUCUGGGAAACUGCCUGAUGGAGGGGGAUAACUACUGGAAACGGGAGCUAAUACCGCAUAACGUCGCAAGACCAAAGAGGGGGACCUUCGGGCCUCUUGCCAUCGGAUGUGCCCAGAUGGGAUUAGCUAGUAGGUGGGGUAACGGCUCACCUAGGCGACGAUCCCUAGCUGGUCUGAGAGGAUGACCAGCCACACUGGAACUGAGACACGGUCCAGACUCCUACGGGAGGCAGCAGUGGGGAAUAUUGCACAAUGGGCGCAAGCCUGAUGCAGCCAUGCCGCGUGUAUGAAGAAGGCCUUCGGGUUGUAAAGUACUUUCAGCGGGGAGGAAGGGAGUAAAGUUAAUACCUUUGCUCAUUGACGUUACCCGCAGAAGAAGCACCGGCUAACUCCGUG